UGCUAAUUAGCUGUCAGUCUCUAUAAACAACCAGCAGACUGCAUUUCAGAGAGAUACUCCACCAAAAAUUCCCAAACAAGAAUUAAACGUUUGUGCCGGACUGCAACUUCUACUCUUUGAUUUCAGGCUUUAGACUGAGUAAAUCUGCUUACCUUAAACAUUUCUCAUGUGAUAAAGGUUUUCAUUUUUCUUACCAGUUGACUACAGGUAAUAACAUCUGCUCUUCCCUCUAGACAGUUAUUUGAUUCAAUAAUCUUAGCCCCCCCAAAAAACAGAAAAGAAAAGAGAAGGAAAUGAAAGAAAAGGAUGAAAAGGAGAAGAGAGAAGAUGUUCAGGUAACCAUCUGUCACUGCCUGUGGCAUGGGCCUCCCAGAAUGAGACUUUUCCUUGCUCUAAUUAAUGCCCUUUAAUGACUGGAGUGUCAGUCUUUAAACAACUGCAGGAUCUACCACAUGCAAAUGGACUGCAUAUACUUCUAAGAUAAAGAGAAGGAGGAUCAUGUCACAGCAGAUCCCCCGGGUCUGUUUCGCAUCCUCCCAAGAAGGCAGCUUCCAUACUUGCAUCUCAGUCAGUGCCCACCCUCUGGCUCCCUUGGACCAGGUAAAGAUGCAGUGCUAAAUCCAGGCCAUGCAAGUCUGUUGUGUUCUCCUAUUGCUGUUGACCUGGCCAUGUCUGAUUAGAUGAUCCUGGUACCCAUUGAAACUCCUCUGACAUCCACACUCCAAAGACAGUAGCUGGUGGGGAGUCAACACAGCAACUCAUCCACUAAUCCCAAGAGUUGCCAUGGUGUUCAUAUCGCACUUUCCAUUCAAUUCAACCUUUCCUAAGGCAGAAGAGGGGGAGGUGGAAGAAGGAGAGGAGAGGAGAGGAGAGGAAAACAAUUCCUUUUCUUUGAACUGCUCAUAUGCUGAAUCAGAAGUUCAAAGCAAGUGAGACUUCUAAGAUCAUGCUGUGAUUUAAGGAGAGGAAACAGUUCCCGCAGGAAAAUCACAUACCAUUGUGCUUCUACAUUGCAUAUUAGGAUACGAAG
rnacentral:lncRNA from 1 species